AAAUAUACCAGUUCUCGUUAGAUCACCGAAGUCAAGCAUCAUCGGGCGCGGUCAGUACUUGGGUGGGUGACCACCUGGGAACACCGCGUGCCGUU
rnacentral:rRNA from 1 species